AAAAUCCUAAUUAGUAAAGUAACUAGCAACUAAAGCUGAAGUUAAUGUAAUGGAGUAAGAAGUACAAUAUUUCUCUCUGAAAUGUAGUAGAAGUAGAAAGUGCCAAAAAAGGAAAAAACUCAAG